GAUGAACGCUGGCGGCGUGCUUAACACAUGCAAGUCGAACGAAGCACCUUGAUUCGAUUCUUCGGAUGAAGAUCUUGGUGACUGAGUGGCGGACGGGUGAGUAACGCGUGGGUAACCUGCCUCAUACAGGGGGAUAACAGUUAGAAAUGACUGCUAAUACCGCAUAAGACCACAGCACCGCAUGGUGCAGGGGUAAAAACUCCGGUGGUAUGAGAUGGACCCGCGUCUGAUUAGGUAGUUGGUGGGGUAACGGCCUACCAAGCCGACGAUCAGUAGCCGACCUGAGAGGGUGACCGGCCACAUUGGGACUGAGACACGGCCCAAACUCCUACGGGAGGCAGCAGUGGGGAAUAUUGCACAAUGGGGGAAACCCUGAUGCAGCGACGCCGCGUGAGCGAUGAAGUAUUUCGGUAUGUAAAGCUCUAUCAGCAGGGAAGAAAAUGAUGGUACCUGACGAAGAAGCACCGGCUAAAUACGUG
rnacentral:rRNA from 1 species